rnacentral:rRNA from 1 species
UACGAAGGGGGCUAGCGUUGCUCGGAAUCACUGGGCGUAAAGCGCACGUAGGCGGGAUGGCAAGUCGGUCGUGAAAUCCUUCGGCUCAACCGAAGAACGUCGGCCGAUACUGCCGUUCUUGAGGGAUGCAGAGGAGAUUGGAAUUCCCGGUGUAGCGGUGAAAUGUGUAGAGAUCGGGAGGAACACCGGUGGCGAAGGCGGGUCUCUGGGCAUCUCCUGACGCUGAGGCGCGAAAGCGUGGGGAGCAAACGGG